GCCUUCUGGCCCCAGACAGAUGUGCUGGGAAGGUUAAGCCACCUCUGCUUCCAGGCCUGGGUGUGGACCGGCAGCCCAGUUCUACACACUGAGCUCCUGAUCUCUCAGAACUCCUAGUUGCUUCAGAGACUAAACAGUGUCCUAGAACAAAACUUCAGUCUAGAAGCCUCAGAUUCCUGCUGUUGGAAGCGGCUUUUCCUCUCUGGCUGGAGACCCUUCCCAUACGUCGUCACAGCCCAUGGAUGUCUAUUCAGGUUCCUGAACCCUUGAGGAAACGUAGAAGGAACACUUGGGCCAGAGCCAAUGGAAAGGACAAAAGUGUCAGAGGCCAAGAAACCAGCAUGCCCUGGCACCCUCGUGGUGAACCUUGCAGCUUGGGCCUAGCAUGGAAGUAAGCUGGCCUUUUCGUGGUGGUCCUGACGUGGCCUUGAGAAUGUUCUCCGUGUCUGAGGCAAAGGUUUUCCCAAGGGCACCAAGCCAGUAAGCAUCUACCAGGACGCUUGGACUGUUGUCCUCCCUUAGAUGCUCCUCCCCAGCUCUAUUGCAUCUAUCCUGUGUGAACAGAUACGGCCUGGUGAGUCCCUCUGCCAGUGGCUGGGGA